AGCGAACGCUGGCGGCAGGCCUAACACAUGCAAGUCGAACGAAGUCUUCGGACUUAGUGGCGGACGGGUGAGUAACACGUGGGACCGUGCCUUUAGGUUCGGAAUAACUCAGGGAAACCUGUGCUAAUACCGAAUGUGCCCUUCGGGGGAAAGGUUUAUCGCCUUUAGAGCGGCCCGCGUCUGAUUAGCUAGUUGGUGAGGUAAAGGCUCACCAAGGCUACGAUCAGUAGCUGGUCUGAGAGGAUGACCAGCCACAUUGGGACUGAGACACGGACCAAACUCCUACGGGAGGCAGCAGUGGGGAAUCUUGCGCAAUGGGCGAAAGCCUGACGCAGCCAUGCCGCGUGGAUGAUGAAGGUCUUAGGAUUGUAAAAUCCUUUCACCGGUGAAGAUAAUGACUGUAGCCGGAGAAGAAGCCCCGGCUAACUUCGUGCCAGCCGCCGCCGUAAGAC
rnacentral:rRNA from 1 species